rnacentral:rRNA from 1 species
CACGUAGGGCGCAAGCGUUGUCCGGAAUUAUUGGGCGUAAAGCGCGCGCAGGCGGCCUUUUAAGUCUGAUGUGAAAUCUUGCGGCUCAACCGCAAGCGGCCAUUGGAAACUGGGAGGCUUGAGUACAGAAGAGGAGAGUGGAAUUCCACGUGUAGCGGUGAAAUGCGUAGAUAUGUGGAGGAACACCAGUGGCGAAGGCGACUCUCUGGUCUGUAACUGACGCUGAGGCGCGAAAGCGUGGGGAGCAAACAGG